rnacentral:sRNA from 1 species
AAUUCUUUUAUCACCAUCAUGGUUUCGUAGCCAUGUUUAAAUUUUUGUCUUUUCGUGUUCGCUCUAUACAGGAAGAAGUCAGUAUCAAAGAAAUUGCAAUCACACAUCAUGUAAAGGAAGGACAUGAAAAGGCAGAUCCUUCCCAGUUUGAACUUUUAAAAGUAUUAGGGCAGGGAUCAUUUGGAAAGGUUUUCUUAGUUAAAAAAAUCUCAGGCUCUGAUGCUAGGCAGCUUUAUGCCAUGAAGGUAUUGAAGAAGGCCACACUGAAAGGUAAGUGUUGCUGCUAUUUGUAAUGUUCAUGUAGUCUAAACAAACUGAAAGGUCUCAAUAGAGCUCAUGGGACUCCUUGGCAUGUUAUUUACAUUCUGAAUAGGUUCCUGUUACCAGCUUUAAAUUUAGGCUGACUUUUAGUGAAUUUUUCCUGCUAGGCUAGGAAUCAUAUAACUAGUGAGAACCAGAGUUGCCACGUUAUAAAAGAAGUAUUAUAAAUUCAUAUUGAGUUUUAUACAAGUAAACAUUUAGAAGAUUAAAACUGGGUUUGAUUCAUCUUCAAAUUUAUAUAUUUAUUUUAAUGUUUUUAAAAACGUACUGAUUUACUGGAUGCAAAAUAGCUUUUAUUCUAAAGGACUUUAUGACUUCUGGUCUCCAAGUAAGUUUUUAUUCUGAGCCUAUGAUUUGAAAACCCUAAUGCAGGAUUUGGCUCUCAUAGGUAAAAAGUAGUUAAGAAGAGGCCGGGCGUGGUGGCUCACACCUGUAAUCCCAGCACUUUGGGAGGCCGAGGCAGGCGGAUCACCUGAGGUUAGAAGUUCGAGAUCAGCCUGACCAACAUGGAGAAACCCCAUCUCUACUAAAAAUACAAAAAAUUAGCUGGGCAUGGUGGCACAUACCUGUAAUUCCAGCUACUCAGAGGCUGAGGCAAGAGAAUCGCUU